CGGGGUUGCAUUUUACCUUGUAUGCGUUGUGCCCGUCUGUGCCCGCUUUGCCCGCCACAGCCAUAGCCCGUUCUUCGCUCAGCAACACGCGCUUGUUGCCGGGCAACAUUUGCGAGCAGCAGCAACUUUUGAAGGCGCGGGCAUAUUUGAAAGAUUUCUAUUGCUGUGCUGUUGCGUGGUGUCCCGUGUGUCCUUAAAAGCGAAAAGUUUCCUACGAAACAGCGGAACACCCGCCGCUGGUUUUUGAGCGCUACUAAAAAACACAAGUGCAGUGCGAAAGAGUAGCGUUUUUUUUUUGUUUAUUUUUUUCCGCCUCCCCCUCAAAACAUAUCGUAGAUUUCCGUUAUUGGCCGCCCAACAACAAAAUAGUAAACAAAAGUGAAAUAAUAUCCUUAUGGAUCUGGUGGAUGUGAUCAUCGCGCGCUUAAGGACUCCACUCCCUUUCCCACUUCAUUCCCCCGGAAUGAAUAACUUGUCCCAGUUUUAAGAUCUUUUUGUGCAAGUGCGAGACCAGUGAAAGACCAGUGCCAGCAACGACAACAACAACCAACAACCAACAACAACAACAAGGAGGAACCACAACUAAUGUUGCACUUAGCGUUAGUUCCGGUUCCUGUUCUAAUUCCUGCAUCUCCCUGCAUUUUCUUCGCUUUUUCCUUUCGUUGUCGCGUGUCGCGCGUUCCAUCCCGUUACUUUCGUUUUCGUGCGCGUCUGCCGGCGGCCCAGCUCAUCGGGAAACUGCAUUUCUGGAUUUCCAAUAGCCUCCAGUCCAGUCCAGCGAAGGACACAACACGAAAUAUGGAUUAACACAACGCUUUCAAUCAAAGGAUUUGAGGAUACAAAAAAAAAACAACAAUUAUAUUCUGGCAAAAUCUAGGGAAAUAUUCGCCCACUUUUUGGCUAACAAUCAAAAUUACAAAAAAAAAAAAAUAUAUCUUGGAAACCAAAUACAAAAUGAGUUAAAAAAUCAUAGAAAAUAAAACAAAUGACAAAUAUCUAAUAUUCUACGAAUUAAGGCCAACAAACCGCUAAUGUUUAUGUAAUUCUUAAGAGCCCAGA